GAUGAAGAACGUAGUGAAAUGCGAUAAGUAAUGUGAAUUGCAGAAUUCAGUGAAUCAUCGAAUCUUUGAACGCACAUUGCGCCCCCUGGUAUUCCGGGGGGCAUUCCUGUUCGAGCGUCAUUUCACCACUCAAGCCUCGCUUGGUAUUGGGCAACGCGGUCCGCCGCGUGCCUCAAAUCGACCGGCUGGGUCUUCUGUCCCCUAAGCGUUGUGGAAACUAUUCGCUAAAGGGUGUUCGGGAGGCUACGCCGUAAAACAACCCCAUUUCUAAGGUUGACCUCGGAUCAGGUAGGGAUACCCGCUGAACUUAAGCAUAUCAAUAAGCGGAGGA
rnacentral:misc_RNA from 1 species